rnacentral:rRNA from 1 species
GAUGAACGCUAGCUACAGGCUUAACACAUGCAAGUCGAGGGACCGGCUCACGGGUGAGUAACACGUAUCCAUCCUGCCCUUUACUCGGGGAUAGCCUUUCGAAUUCAAGAUUAAUACCCGAUAUAAAGGAUCGGGAUGCGUUCCAUUAGGUUGUUGGUGAGGUAACGGCUAACCAAGCCUUCGAUGGAUAGGGGUUCUGAGAGGUAGGUCACCCACAUUGGAACUGGGACACGGUCCAAACUACUACGGGAGGCAGCAGUAGGGAAUAUAAGUAAAUGGGCGGUAGCCUGAACCAGCCAAGUAGCGUGAAGGAUGAAGGCUUAUGGGUCGUAAACUGCUGUUAUAUAAGAAUAUGUAUUAUAUGAAUAAGGAUCGGCUAACUCCGUGCCAGCCGCCGCGGUAAUUC